CUGUUAGAUGUCGCUGUAGAUUUAGCAGUACAUUACUGUAAAAAUCCACAGUACUAUACUGUAUGUGUACAUUACAGUACAGUACUGCAGUUCAUAAUGCAUUCUGGGUAAAUUUGUUUGAGCGGGAAAAUUUUACAGUAUAUUUUGGUCUUGAUGUAACCUUGCUGUAGCCAUUGCUGUAAUGUGCCAGGUGUACUUGCAGUAAUCAGAGAAAGUGCGCCAACGUCAAAUCACACAGAGGGAGAGAGAGCACAACUCCUGGCUGCAGCUGAAGGAGGACGAUUGAUUUCUGGCAGUUCGUCUUACCAUUGCUUGUAAGCUGGAUUGGGUAAGAUGGAUCAUCUUUAAAGGCACCAGGCAAGUACAUGAUGUACAGUUACAAGUCAUGUAUUUUUUCGACUGCAAUAUUAAAUGCUUUCACGUCACAUGCAAAAUUACACAGGAAUGUGGCUGACUUUUUAUUUGUAGUUUACAUGAGUGUCCUUGCACUUUUAUAGGAGUUAAGGCAGAUGUGGAGGCACAACGGGUGAUACCAGACACACACCAAGCACAUUAUGUUUGGUAAGUUUGCACUUUACCACUACAGCCACUUUACCACUACAGUUUCUUUAAAUACCCAUGUAUACACUCAUUCACUCAUUCACACACAACACUGUAACACGACCAUACACAACAUGUACACAAUUGUCUUAGUUUGCCAUGUAGAAAUAUACAAACAGAAAUAUUCAGACUUUGGUUAUAAGAAAUUUAAUUUAAUAAUUGUAUUUAUUUAGCAGAGGUGUCCCUGGACUUUAUUGACAAAAGAUUUUGUUUUCAGAAUAAAAAGUUGUGUCCAAAUCAGUAACAAUUGUACUUUCUGUUCAGGACAUUCAAUCAUGACAGGAUCCAGGUGGAUGCUGUCCAUUGAGGAAAGAGUUUGUUCAGCGGUUUCUGGAUAGAAUUAAUUCCAAAGAUGGGAAAAAGUGCACAUCCAGACAAGGAGCAAGCAAAAAGACAAGGAACUUGGUGCAGAGAAAAGCUGUGGCCAUUAACCCCUGUGAACAGCUUCAUGCAGUCGCUGAUUGAGUUCGAAUGGACGACUUCAGUAAAGGCCACUGUGGUCUGUCUGCCACAGUUUAAUUUUUAAUUUAUUUUUAGUGUUCAAUGAAAUUCAAGUAGAAUAUUUAAAACUAUGGGCCAGUGUUGUUUUUACCACGGUGAAAUGUUACCUUUUAGUCGAUGAUGGACUUUAAACUGAAAACUUCAAACUAUGGAACAGUGUUCUAUUUGCCAGAGUUAAAUAUGUUACAGCAGGGGUCUCCAAACUUGUUUAUACUUGUUGAUUUUAUUUUAUGUUACUUGAUUAUAUGUUUAUUAUUGUUUAAAAUCUUGUUUUAAAUAUGUUUGUUUCAAUUAAAUGUUUUUUUUAAUAAAAUUUUGAUACAAACAUUGCUUGGAUUGCCUUUUAAUUCAUUAUGUUUUAAUUUAGCAUUUUUACCAUAUUAAUAACUAUAGAUUUAAACCUAAAUCUCUAGCUAUUUUAUAUAAUAUUAUUGUAUUAACUGUAAUAAGUAAUAAAUAGUAUUUAUGGGUCAAUAUAGACAUUACAGUAAAUUACUGUAAAAAUAGACUACUGUAAUAAAAUAUUGUAAAAUUACAGUACAGUACUGCUUUGUAACUAUACAGUACUAGUUUGUGUACUGUAAAAUGGUAUUACAGUACAGUACUGUAAAACCAAAAU